rnacentral:rRNA from 1 species
CCUACGGGUGGCAGCAGUGAGGAAUAUUGGUCAAUGGGCGCGAGCCUGAACCAGCCAAGUAGCGUGAAGGAUGACUGCCCUACGGGUUGUAAACUUCUUUUAUAAAGGAAUAAAGUGAGGCACGUGUGCCUUUUUGUAUGUACUUUACGAAUAAGGAUCGGCUAACUCGGUGCCAGCAGCCGCGGUAAUACGGAGGAUCCGAGCGUUAUCCGUAUUUAGUGGGGUUAAAGGGAGCAGAGUGGGGUUGUUAAGUCAGUUGUGAAAGUUGGCGGAUCAACCGGAAAAUUGCAAUUGAUACUUGCAGUCUUGAGUACAGUGGAGGUAGGCGGAAUUCGUGGGGUAGCGGUGAAAUGCU